AAACUGAAGAGUUUGAUCCUGGCUCAGAUUGAACGCUGGCGGCAUGCCUUACACAUGCAAGUCGAACGGCAGCACGGAGCUUGCUCUGGUGGCGAGUGGCGAACGGGUGAGUAAUAUAUCGGAACGUACCCUGGAGUGGGGGAUAACGUAGCGAAAGUUACGCUAAUACCGCAUACGAUCUACGGAUGAAAGUGGGGGAUCGCAAGACCUCAUGCUCGUGGAGCGGCCGAUAUCUGAUUAGCUAGUUGGUAGGGUAAAAGCCUACCAAGGCAUCGAUCAGUAGCUGGUCUGAGAGGACGACCAGCCACACUGGAACUGAGACACGGUCCAGACUCCUACGGGAGGCAGCAGUGGGGAAUUUUGGACAAUGGGCGCAAGCCUGAUCCAGCAAUGCCGCGUGAGUGAAGAAGGCCUUCGGGUUGUAAAGCUCUUUUGUCAGGGAAGAAACGGUGAGGGCUAAUAUCCUUUGCUAAUGACGGUACCUGAAGAAUAAGCACCGGCUAACUACGUGCCAGCAGCCGCGGUAAUACGUAGGGUGCAAGCGUUAAUCGGAAUUACUGGGCGUAAAGCGUGCGCAGGCGGUUUUGUAAGUCUGAUGUGAAAUCCCCGGGCUCAACCUGGGAAUUGCAUUGGAGACUGCAAGGCUAGAAUCUGGCAGAGGGGGGUAGAAUUCCACGUGUAGCAGUGAAAUGCGUAGAUAUGUGGAGGAACACCGAUGGCGAAGGCAGCCCCCUGGGUCAAGAUUGACGCUCAUGCACGAAAGCGUGGGGAGCAAACAGGAUUAGAUACCCUGGUAGUCCACGCCCUAAACGAUGUCUACUAGUUGUCGGGUCUUAAUUGACUUGGUAACGCAGCUAACGCGUGAAGUAGACCGCCUGGGGAGUACGGUCGCAAGAUUAAAACUCAAAGGAAUUGACGGGGACCCGCACAAGCGGUGGAUGAUGUGGAUUAAUUCGAUGCAACGCGAAAAACCUUACCUACCCUUGACAUGGACGGAAUCCCGAAGAGAUUUGGGAGUGCUCGAAAGAGAGCCGUUACACAGGUGCUGCAUGGCUGUCGUCAGCUCGUGUCGUGAGAUGUUGGGUUAAGUCCCGCAACGAGCGCAACCCUUGUCAUUAGUUGCUACGAAAGGGCACUCUAAUGAGACUGCCGGUGACAAACCGGAGGAAGGUGGGGAUGACGUCAAGUCCUCAUGGCCCUUAUGGGUAGGGCUUCACACGUCAUACAAUGGUACAUACAGAGCGCCGCCAACCCGCGAGGGGGAGCUAAUCGCAGAAAGUGUAUCGUAGUCCGGAUUGUAGUCUGCAACUCGACUGCAUGAAGUUGGAAUCGCUAGUAAUCGCGGAUCAGCAUGUCGCGGUGAAUACGUUCCCGGGUCUUGUACACACCGCCCGUCACACCAUGGGAGCGGGUUUUACCAGAAGUAGGUAGCUUAACCGCAAGGAGGGCGCUUACCACGGUAGGAUUCGUGACUGGGGUGAAGUCGUAACAAGGUAGCCGUAUCGGAAGGUGCGGCUGGAUCACCUCCUUU
rfam:Janthinobacterium agaricidamnosum NBRC 102515 = DSM 9628, complete genome